UGGGGAAUAUUUGCACAAUGGGCGCAAGCCUGAUGCAGCCAUGCCGCGUGUGUGAAGAAGGCCUUCGGGUUGUAAAGCACUUUCAGCGAGGAGGAAGGUGGUGAGCUUAAUACGCUCAUCAAUUGACGUUACUCGCAGAAGAAGCACCGGCUAACUCCGUGCCAGCAGCCGCGGUAAUACGGAGGGUGCAAGCGUUAAUCGGAAUUACUGGGCGUAAACGCGCACGCAGGCGGUUUGUUAAGUCAGAUGUGAAAUCCCCUGGGCUCAGCCUGGGCAAGCUGCAUUUGAAACUGGCAAGCUAGAGUCUCGUAGAGGGGGGUUAGAAGUUCCAGGUGUAGCGGUGAAAUGCGUAGAGAUCUGGAGGAAUACCGGUGGCGAAGGCGGCCCCCUGGACGAAGACUGACGCUCAGGUGCGAAAGCGUGGGGAGCAAACAGGAUUAGAUACCCCU
rnacentral:rRNA from 1 species